CGAAGUUGCUGGGAGGUUUUCACAAAGAGAAAUUUAGUGAAAGAAAAAGAUAGACUUUUGAGAAAGAGAUCUCAGGAGGUGCUGGUUCCCAACUUACGAACAAAAUUAGUUAGAUGUUGAUAAUCGUAUUUUUCUUUGAAGUCAGUAACUUGAUGACUUUGGGGUUAGUAACUUGAUGAUUGUGACAUACAUCUUAAUUAAUAUUAAAAAAUUGGUAACUGUUUAGGUAUAUUAUCCUACAAAAGAGAAUGGCUUACAUAGAACAAGUCACCACCACGUAGUAUUAUUUAUCCAAUAAGACAUUGUCAAGUGUAAGUUUUUCACCAUAUGACAAUGUCUUAUUAAAUUAAGAUAUCAUGUGACAAUGAACUUGUUUCAUGUAAAUUAUUCUUCUUAGGCAACAUGCCCUGACUACAAAUUUAAAAGUAGCUUUAAUAAUUUCGUUUCCUAUGCAACUAAUAUUUUGCUCUGUAAUUGCCCCAUACGUAUAUUCCUCUUGCAUCUACCAGAUUAUAUAUUAUUUCAUGUCUUGGCCAUUUUGGGUUUAACCUUUGACCAUAUAUGAAUUGACUAAUUAAUUUAACGUUGCCCACCCUCUCUCUAUAAAUUUCGAAAGCUAGGUUAAUAACCUUCCAAGGUGUCUAAUCAUGUAUAUAUAAUAUGAAUCCGGUUUCUCUUUGUGAGAAUUCUGGAGAUCCAUGCAUCGUAUUCAUUCAUCGUACAUCGUACGGUCAGAAAUCAUUUUAAAUAUUUUUAUUUAAGAUUAUAUACAAACUAUACCUAAUAAAAAUUGACCGCAUGAUAUACGAUAAACGAACACGAUUACGAAUUUUCAAAAUCCUCACCAAAAGAAUCCAAAGAUGAUCCUGUUGGAUAUAAUGUAUGGGUGCAUAUAAAACAAUUGAGUCUGUUUAUUUUAAUUUGUUCAGAUAUCCACCAAUGCCCGGUACAAAAGGGAACAUUCUUUGCACGAAUGAAAUUUGCCUUCAGACAGAACUUAAGUUUUAAAGUAUUACAUUUUGGGGCUAUCAAGUUAUAAAUUACCAAUAACCGCCAUAUGGGACAAGAAGAAGGCUAUAUGCUAAUGAAUGCUAUGGAGUAACGAUAUCUGUUAAACUAGUUACGGCGUAUUAGUACUUGCUAAAAGAACAUGGAACACCAAGGUGUAAAGACUGGAUACACCACUUUUGAGUUUUGAUAUAUGUCUCAUGUAAGAAGGAAUGACUUUUUCCAUAUAAAAAGUGAAACAAUGUCCUUUAAUCCUUAUUAGUUUAUGUUCAAAUUAGCUCUGCCACCCUUUCUAAGUGGUGAGUGUUACCACCAUGGUUCACAAAUUCAGUUUUUAUAUUAAAAAAAUGAACAAAUAUGAAAUUUAUUAUUAAUUAUAAGAGAAAGUAAAUAAAGAAUUAAAUAAUAAAGGUAAAGAAAAUGAGGUUCAUGAAUCGAUCUUUUGGAAAAUGUAGAGGAUAAGCAUUUUUUAAAUGUACUUAAAACACAACAUAAAACAUUAUUGUUCUACUUAAAUUAUAACACGUAAAAUUUAUGAUAAUUUAGCCAAAGGUUAAUAAAAACUGUACCAUUAAGCCAUAUAUCAAUGAAAUAUUUUUAUUAAUUAGGUCAAUGAUGAAUGUCACAUAAUUAACUAUUUAAUUAAUAAAAAUAUUAUAAAAAAAAAAACCAAACCAAAUUCCUAUCCUGCAUCCACCACCAAACACCCCAAAUUCCUAUUUCCACCACCUAUCACUUCUAGGAAUAACAUCUUGGGCGACGAAGGGGAAAUUGUCGCGCAAAGGGAAAAAUCAUCGCCGGAAAUAUUGGGCGGCGAAGACUCCGUCGCACAAAGCUUGUGACGUCAAGCAUUGUGCGACAGAGAAAAUAUCUUCGUCGAUUGAAAAUUAAGAUUACGGGACAGAAGUCAUGGUCGCUGCACGUGUUGAGUGACGAAAUUGGGUUUUGACCCCAAACUCUUGCGCAACGGUGUACGGGUUCGACCCUCAAAGUUUUGUGCGACGGAGGUUGUCAUUCGACCCACAAACCUUUGCACGACGGAUAUAGAGGUCGUCGCAGUCAAAUUUUAAAAUUAGUUUUUAAGUAAUCUAUUAUUUAUUUAUUAUUUAUUUGUAAAUUAGUUUUAUAAAUAUUUAUUUUUUCGCUUAUGUAAAAGUCAAUUUAAUGAAAAUAAAUAUAGAAAAUGUAAAGAAGAAUAUUGAUUGAAAAAUUAUUAUAAAUGUACAUACAAUGGAAAAAAGUAUUUUUAAAUUCUAAAACAAUUUAAAACAAAACUAAAAAAAG
rnacentral:lncRNA from 1 species